rnacentral:rRNA from 1 species
UACGUAGGGUGCGAGCGUUAAUCGGAAUUACUGGGCGUAAAGCGUGCGCAGGCGGUUUUGUAAGCCAGAUGUGAAAGCCCCGGGCUUAACCUGGGAAUGGCAUUUGGGACUGCAAGGCUCGAGUGCGGCAGAGGAGACUGGAAUUCCUGGUGUAGCAGUGAAAUGCGUAGAUAUCAGGAGGAAUACCGAUGGCGAAGGCAGCCCCCUGGGCCAACACUGACGCUCAGGCACGAAAGCGUGGGGAGCAAACAGG